CACUGUUCUCAUGACAGUCACUGUAGAGAUAGGGAUAACAGAAUAAAAAAGAUGAAAUAAGACUGAACUCCACGAAUUUGUACAAAAUCAAGUCCUUAGAAUGUGCUAAUUAAUCCCAGCCAUCCCUCCAUACAUCACACUAUCUUGGCGUCCAAAUAAACUGGGUGUGUCUGAACUUCGACACAAAAUUUUUAUCAUAUAAAUCCAACAGAAACAAUAAACCCAGGCGUUGCAAUGACGGGGAGGUAGCGAUCGUAAGUGUUUAUGGAUGAGGAAAGAAAUGGAUCAAUGAGUAGGAAAAAAGGGGCCAGAAUUAUUUACCCAACAACAGAGGAAGGCUAAGCUCAGCAGCAGGAGCACCUGCGUGAUAUUUCAUAGAUAGAAUCUCCGAAAAAGAAAUGGAAGACAUGGAUAAUUCCUGUGUUGUGUUCAAGACGACGAUUUCAGUGAAUGACUACCUCAGGAAUUCAGACGCACCUAACAAUUGUGUGCUCAAGUUUUUGGGUAGAAUGUCUUUUUAGCCUGUCAAGAAGAAUCCUCUCUUUGGGUAUUCGUCCUCCAUAUUGCCAAAAGGUAUCAUCACAAAGGGUUUUAGGAAACCUAUGAAAGGUAGAGCUACAUGUGAACAUGGAGAAAGGAGCACACCAUGUUUGCAGAGGUGUGGAGAUCUGUGGCACACUAUAUCAAAUAUGCAACACCAUAAAAGUGUAAAAGUGGAAACUUUAAACUGAAUGUUUUGAAAGAAAGUGGGUGACGAAAUUCCUGUUGGUUUUUGUACUUUUAUGGAUUUCAGCAUUUUUUCAAUUCAAAUAUCAUAUUUAUCUAGAGUACUUUGAUUGCAUUGGUCAGACCAAGGAAAUUAAAUUCAGGCAUUUCAAAGUGAAUGUUGACAGAAUAAUUUAUUCUUAAUCACCAUCUUUUGGUUU